rnacentral:misc_RNA from 1 species
GAUGAAGAACGCAGCGAAAUGCGAUACGUAAUGUGAAUUGCAGAAUUCAGUGAAUCAUCGAAUCUUUGAACGCAUAUUGCGCUCUCUGGUAUUCCGGAGAGCAUGCUUGUUUGAGUAUCAGUAAACACCUCAACUUCCAUAUCUUUUUUGAAAUGGGAGUUGGACUUGAGUGAUCCCAACGCUUUUCCUCACCGAAAAGUGGCGGGUUACUUGAAAUGCAGGUGCAGCUGGACUUUUCUCUGAGCUAUAAGCAUAUCUAUUUAGUCUGCCUAAAAAACAGAUUAUUACCUUUGCUGCAGCUAACAUAAAGGAGAUUAGUUCUUGUGCUGACAGAUGCAGGAUUCACAAAGACGGCUUCGGCCGACUUUGUAAACUCGAUCUCAAAUCAAGUAAGACUACCCGCUGAACUUAAGCAUAUCAAUAAGCGGAGGA